AAAACUUACCAGGUCAAGACAUGGGCGUGAUUGACAGGCUAAUGACUUUUCUCGAUUCCAUGGAUGGUGGUGCAUGGUCGCACUUAGUUGGUGCAGUGAUUUGUCAGGUUUAUUCCGGUAACGAACGAGACCUCGGCCUUGUAAAUAGCUAUGCUGCUUACAGGGACAUUGGCGGCUACGCCAAGGAAGCUCGAGGCAAUUGCAGAUCUGGAAUGCCCUUAGAUGUCCUGGGUCGCACGCGUGCUACAAUGACGCCACGAACGAGCUUGCGUGAUGAAAGUUACGCAUAAUCAGCAGUCGGCGUCUUAAGGGAUAGUCUCUUGUAACUGUGGGACUCCAACUAGGAAUGUCUCGUAAGCACAAGUCAACAUCUUGUGUUGAUUACGUCCCUGCUCUUUGUACACACCGCCCGUCACUCCUACCGAUCGAGUGUUUAGGUGAAUUUGAUGGACGUAAGGAAGUCAAAUAAACCUGAGCACUAGAGAAGAGAAGUCGAUAUC
rnacentral:rRNA from 1 species